GCUGUACCUCAGCUUUGAACAUUUCAACAUCUUCAUAAUUCAUAACGGUCACAAUGGCAAGUUUCAAUUUAGUUCUCACUCUAGCACAGAAGAGUCUCGUCUGGAUCUUUCUGUUUCGUCUCUGUACUGGUACGCAGAAUGAAGAUUUGGACACAAAAACCCUUGCACGUAUUGUGAAAACCUUGGAGAGCAAGUUGGGUCAAUUAGGCCAAUAUGCCGUAGCCUUCAGAGUUGAGAAGGAGAACUGUCUUGCAAACUCCAAAUAUUCGGGCAAUGACUUGAUAACGGAUGAAGUGAAAAACAAAAUUCAGAACAAUGAAGUGUAUGUGAGCAAUAACCUCAUAGCUGCGAAACCUCUGAAAGGUGAAAAAACAGAGCAUUCAGAGUUUCGCCUGAAAAAUCAUCUGAAUGGUGUCUUAAAUGUGAAAGAUAAAUGUGUGAUUUAUUUCACUGUAAAUUCACCCUGUUUGACAAGAUGUCUAGCAGAAAAUGGGCAAUAUAACAUUAAAAGUAGUCUUACAAGUUUACAAACAUAUCAGGGAGUUAAAGCCCUUGCUUUUAAAAAGGUCUGGGAACAUGAUACAAAAGAAGCCCUAAUAACAAGACUUAAGGCAAUAGCACCUAAUCUGCCAUCUUAUCAGUGUGAGAGCAACAAAGCUCAAUGUAAUCGCCUGUAUACCCGAAAGUCACAGGCAAACGGAAAUGACAUGCCUAUUUUAAACCUUUAAUUUUUUUUGUUAAUGUGUAUUCUGUAAUAUUCAUUCACAUUAACACUGCUUAUGCAUUGCCAACAACCCUGUUAUAUUAAACUAACGUUACCUGCCUGAGCAAAUAAAAACAUUUUAAUGAAAAGUAAUUUUUUGAUAUCGUAUGUAUUGUGUCACAUAUAUGCACACAUACAGUAUUAGAGAGGGACAGAGUUUAUUCAGUCAAGUAUGGUUAUUGUAUGUUCUCUCUGCAUCUCUCUUUACUUUUUAAAGCUUCAGUAUCACACUCCAUGUGCGCCUGUGGGUGAUAUUGUG